AAGGCAAAGAGGCGCGGCUGGAAGAACCAGACUGAGAAAGUGCCACAGGGCGGGGGCCGCAUCCGCCCCUCGGCUUCUGGUUACUGACCCGACGGCUUUGUGAGUGAAAGUGAAGAGACACUUCGAGGCAGGAGGUCCUGGAACCAAUCCCCUCUGAUACUGAGAGACAACUAUUACACAAGAGAAAUAUUCUACCAUUCACAAAAUCUCGUUUAAGUGUUGUGAAAUACAAACACCAGGGAAUCAAGAACUUUAGAAAAUUGUGGCUGUGUUCCCAUAUGUGGUACAAAGAACCAGUGAGUCCCAUUUGUUGUGGUUCCUGCAUUCGAUGACUCCAGAUGUGCCACCACCGAGCUAGUCUUAUGACAACCUAGAAGGCAAAUUGGGAUGGCCCUAUAUUUGUCACUGAGAGCAGAAGGGUUGAGAACUUAGAUCCUGACAGGAGGCCCACCUUUAUUGGAGAAAUGGCUCUGCAACUUAGCUCAUGUAAGACUGCUGGGAUUUGAAAUUUAUCCUAUUAUUUGAAGACUGAAAUCAAAAUAUGAAGGUGGAGCAUCAUGUGUGCCUUCUGUCUUGUUCUCUACUAGGGUGUAAACCAUUUAACUAAAAAUAGUCUCCAAUUUGACACCUUCCCAACAUUUCACUAGUAUACUCCAAAUCUCCAUGCAGGGUUACAGACCUAUUUCAGCUGGCUCCAUUUACUCUGAGGCAGAUAAAGCUGAGAUUGCAACAUCAGAAGCAGUUCAACCAAUCAUUAUGUACAAACCUCAGCCCAUUUGUAUAAUGCAAUCCUUCUGGUAGUAAUGACACAAAACAUGCCUAUAGGGACGAUCACAACCCUGUCAAAGUCCCAAGUCAUCUGUGGCACCAGGGCCACAGAACUUCUUACCACUUGGAAGCAAAAUAGUUGCUUUAAUGGUAACCAAAUGCCCUCCUUCAAGACAGUAUUUCAAGAAGGAGGAGUAUACGUAUAUUAUACAAACAUAUCCAAUCCCUUUAGAAGAUAAUUAUCAAUAUCAUGCAGGGAAGCUGGAACACACACACAAAAUCGAGUACUAUCUAGAAGAUCAAGCCACAAAUCUCAAGAGAAGCAGUAAGUGUCCAGGGCCUGGGAUUUUUUAUCUUGGCCGUGAGAAUAGCACAGCCCAUGGUGCAGAAACGACAGGCUAGUUGUCCAGCAUAACAUGGUGUUUUAUUUCACCAUAGUAGACUGCUGGGAAAUCUCUGGAGGCCUUGGCAGCUGUGUCUUGUCUUUAAUAUGAAGCCUGGGGGGGAAGACAGAGAGAGAGACUCAUAAUUCACAAGAGGCCCAGCCGUAAGAAAGCCAUUCUAAAUAACUGAAUCAGGCACCGAGGAGGAGCGACUAUUCCAUUCCUAAGUCAAGAAUGCUUUUUGUCUUUCCUUCUCUCCUAAUUGGCUCAUGAAAAGAUCAUUUAUGUGUGGUAGAAUCAGUACAUCAGAGGCAGCUUCUGUUUCUCUCCAUUUCUCCUCCCCACUGCUGCUGUCCUGUAAAAAGACCCUUUGUUACAGACUGAAACAGCAGAUGCAGCUCAGAUAUUAUCUUGAAUAAUUUUGUGGGGAGCAUUUUAUCUUGAAUUGGUGUAAUGCCAUUUUCACGUGGAAAGUGGUUCUAUGUCUGAUCCAAAUGUUCUAGAAACUUGAGAGACCCAUAUGGCAAAGAAGUACUUUACACACAUAUCUCUUUAAAGUAGUGCAGGGUAUGGGAAGAACUGAUAAUGCUGAUUAAAUGAUAUGUAGACGAAAUGAAUGUAAACUGGCAUCAUGGGCUGAGUGAGUCAGGGGAGGCCUUGUGGAAGAGAUAAGAGUAAUAGAAAAUGCUAGGUCAAGUAUGUGUAGAGGCCUGGAGAGAGGAAUGGACUUAGUGGGUCCAAAAGUAAGAAGACUUGUUUGUUGUGAAUACAGAGUUAGAAGUAGGUAGAAGAAAAAGUUGGUCGGGUCCUGCAGAGAUUAAAAAUCCGGUUUAAGAUUUUAGAUUGUUUCAAUCAUCAAUUAGUUGGUGUCUGUGUUCAUUGUGGAAAUGCUUUAAAUAUAGAUAACAAAAAGGAUAAUAACUUACAAUCCUACCAGUCGUAGGAUGAUGAUGGCAGACAAUGUGGUGCACAUUCUUUCAUAUAUUUUAUUGUCCUAGUUUAAGGUUCCCUAUAGGCAGAUCCUGAGAUGAAGAUUUAAAUGCACACCACUUAUUGAGGAGGUGAUUUCAGGAAACACCGGCAGGAGAGUGGGGCAGUAUGACAGGGAAAGAAAGGAAGCAAAAAAAUAAAGGGCAUGUUCUCAAAGGAAUCAGUUGGAGAGCAGUCAUGCUGGAGACACUGGAAGAGAGUAUAGAAGAUGUCUCAAUGUAGUCCUGCCUAGGGAUCAGGAAGUCGAAGUAUUUAUCCACUAAUUCUUGUCAAUUGAGAAUUUAUUUGAGGGGCAUUAACUCUCCAAAACGGUCUCCCUGUGCCGGAAAAAUAACCCUAAGCAGAAUGUUGUAGGUAUUUGCAGCAAAUAGCCCUCAGUGUGUCCUGAGGAUUGGUGUAGUACAUAAAUAUACAAAAUUAUUUUUAUUUAUAAAAAAGCUUUCUAUGCAUCAGGCUCUGUACUGUGUGUUUUACUUGCAUUCACUCAAAAUAGUUCUCACAGAAGCCCUAUGAGGUCGGCGCUACUCUUAUCCCCUGAGGAUUAGAGGCUGGGAGAAGUAUAUAUGAGAGUCAUAUGGAGAUUAAAUACCUGAAGUCAUGAGGAGAUGAUGCACUCUCCAAGAGAGCUUUGAUGACAGCCUAUUUAUGCAGCUUCUGUCAUCUGUACACAUUCUCCUCUUUCUGUCAACAAAGAGUUUUUCUUUUGCAAUUGUAAAUGUCCUCUGUUUUCAGAGACUUUUGUUGGAAAACAAAACAAAAUCUUGAGACAUGAAGGAUCUGUAAUGGACACCUGUCGAUUGUGUCUGUUCAGCAGCUCCUCUCCCACCUGUCUUCCAGUACAACACCUUAUUUCAUUGGAGAGAAAGGUUCUACCUCUUCUCCUUAAGGUUUUAGUGGACAGCCAAACCAGUCUUCAGUCUACAGGGUGAGUAUGAGAUCCAGGCUUGACCAACCAUAGUCACCACCCACUUGGCUACAUCAAAUUGAGCCAGAAAGAGCCUUUCCCUGGGAAUUUAUAUGUAGACUUUGGGAAAAGGAAGCUUUCUUCUCUGAUGUUACUAGACAGCGAUGACAAAACCAGUGCUUGUCUGGACCAUGCUCCACUUCCUCUCCACAGCAAGAUGAGCAAGCUCAUCUGUAGUAGGAAAGAAUGUAGGAAUGCAUCCCCUGCACAGAGAAAAGCGGAGGAGAGAAUGAGAGAGAGAGAGAGAGAGAGAGAGAGAGAGAGAGAGAGAGAGAGAUCUGACUGUACUGCUAAGUCCCUGCAAUCCCCACCAAGGUCUGCAAGGUCUACUUCCCCUAGACUACAACUACCCAUUACUUGUGCCAAAUAUUCAAUAAAUCGUAACCUUAGCAGGGAGAGGGAUGAAGAGAGAUUGAUUAAUGGGUAUGUAUAUACAGUAUGAUAGAAGAAAUAAGACCUAGUAUUUCAUCAGUCAGUAGUAUGACUAUAGUUUACAAUAAUCUAUUGUAUAUUUCAAUAUAGCUAGAAGAGAAGAAUUAGAAUGUUUCUAGCAUAAAGAAAACACAAAUAUUUAAGGUGAUGGGAAUCUCAGUUACACUGAUUUUAUCUUUACAAGGCAUAUGAAUGUUUUAAAUUGUCAUAGUACCCCCAAAAUAUGUACAUGUUAUGUAUCAAUAAAACACAAAAUUAAAAAAUAAAUAUUUAAACAAUCAUA
rnacentral:lncRNA from 1 species